rnacentral:rRNA from 1 species
GUUAAAAAUCAGCUGACGGGGAACCAGUUUGCCCCAUGAUGUUAGCGGCGGACGGGUGAGUAACACGUGGGCUAACCUUGCCUUGCUAAGACGUGGGAUAACCUCCGGGAAACCGGGGGCUUAAUACCGGAUGGUUUGUUUUGACCCGCAUUGGUUUCAAAAAUAAAAGGGGGCUUUCGGCUACCCCUUUACAGAUGGCCCCGCGGCGCAUUAGUUAGUUGGGGAGGUAACCGCCUCACCAAGGCGACAAUGCGUACCCGACCUGAGAGGGUUUUUUUGCCACACUUGGACAUGAGACACGCCCCAACUCCUUACGGGAGGCAGCAGAAGGGAACCCUCCCCAAUGACAAAAGUCUGACGGACCACCGCCGCGGGAGUGAUGAAGGUUUUCGGACCAAAAAGCUUUUGUUGAUAGGAAAAAACAAGUGCCGUUAAAAUGGAGGGGGGCCCCUUUGACGGGCUCCUAAACCAGAAAAGCCACCGGGUUAAAAUCCGGUCCCAAGCAGCCCGCGGAUAAUUCCCUAAGGGGGGCAAANGCCGUUUUUUCCCAAGAAAAUUAUUUGGNGCGGAAAAAGGGCGCUUCCACCC